UACGGGGGGGGCAAGCGUUGUUCGGAAUUACUGGGCGUAAAGGGCGCGUAGGCGGCCUGCUAAGUCGAACGUGAAAUCCCCGGGCUCAACCCGGGAACUGCGUCCGAUACUGGCAGGCUUGAAUCCGGGAGAGGGAUGUGGAAUUCCAGGUGUAGCGGUGAAAUGCGUAGAUAUCUGGAGGAACACCGGUGGCGAAGGCGGCAUCCUGGACCGGCAUUGACGCUGAGGCGCGAAAGCCAGGGGAGCAAACAGG
rnacentral:rRNA from 1 species